UUCUAACUGCUAGAUGAGCAGGAGUUGGAGUGAAUGAUGAGAGCUCACCCAUCACACAGCAGCACUCGGGUCUCAAACAUGGUUGAUUGUCAACCCAGCAUCUUAACCACAUGAGCUACCGCACUCCCACACACAACUUUUAAAAAACUACAGGUUAGAAAAUCAAAGUGAUUGCUGGAUACCUAGAAUGCUGCAAUGCCUACCGUUGUCCCAGGCAUUAAGAACGCAGGAAGAAGCCGAUACCACACAUCACACUUCCAUUCUUCCAUUUUUCAAAAACUAAAACUUUUUUCUGUAUUUUCCAAAGAAGAUAUAUAAUAUUGGUUUCCUGUCUUUAUCCACUCUAAUAAAAAAUAAUGACUCAA